CACGUAGGGCGCAAGCGUUGUCCGGAAUUAUUGGGCGUAAAGAGCUCGUAGGCGGUCUGUUACGUCUGCUGUGAAAACUCGGGGCUUAACCCCGAGCCUGCAGUGGAUACGGGCAGACUAGAGGUAGGUAGGGGAGAAUGGAAUUCCCGGUGUAGCGGUGAAAUGCGCAGAUAUCGGGAGGAACACCGGUGGCGAAGGCGGUUCUCUGGGCCUUACCUGACGCUGAGGAGCGAAAGCGUGGGGAGCGAACAGG
rnacentral:rRNA from 1 species